rnacentral:rRNA from 1 species
UGCGUAGGUGGACCAAUAAGUCAGUGGUGAAAUCUUUCGGCUCAACCGAGAAACUGCCAUUGAUACUGUUGGUCUUGAGUUCGGUAGAGGUAGGCGGAAUGUGUAAUGUAGCGGUGAAAUGCUUAGAUAUUACACAGAACACCAAUUGCGUAGGCAGCUUACUAUGCCGACACUGACGCUGAGGCACGAAAGCGUGGGGAGCGAACAGGAUUAGAUACCCUGGUAGUCC